GGUUUUUGGUUUGUUUUCUAAUUGUCUUUACGUGGAGAAAUAUGAAUGAUGGAAAUGAAUGUACGUGCAGUGACUUUAUAGAUGAAUGGGUCAAAAUUGGCUAAGGUCACAGCUGAGUUUGUGCAUCUGUCACCUGAAAAGCAGAACCAGAUUUGUGAAAAGGAGGCUGUGAAUUUGUCACUGAUAAACAUACAGACAUACCCAUAUGUUCAAGAAAGGUUAUAUAGCAAUGAAAACUCCAGCUCUGAGGGGUAGUUAUUAUGAUUUUGUCGACGGCUGUUUCAAGCUCCGGGAGGUCAAGCCUCAUAUAGCAUCACCUAUCAUACUGUGAACCGAGAUUCAAGAUCCUCGCUCAACCACAUGAAAUCACAAUGUAUGCUGUUUCCAUGUCUCUUUAAUUUUCUCUUAGCAUGUGAUGCUGGUUAACGUGUAUUCAAUAAUGAGAGUUUGUGCUGUGCAUGUGUCAUUAUGAACAAUGAUUAUAGAGUGAAAAAAGUAGGGGAGCUCCUUGCCUGAA